GUGAUUUUAUUUUGUGCAGUGUCGCGGACCCUCCGAAAUCUACUGGGAAUGAUGAAUACCUCGCACAGUACCAAUGUGAUGACGGUGGAGACAAGGAGAAACCAAGAAGAUCAAAAGAACGUGACCUCAUUUCAAAAGAAAACGUUUUGUACGGCAAAGAGUCUUCUGAGCCUGACUUCACGAUUUGUGUUUCUGUGCGCUCCACUUUGACAAUGCCAAUCACAAGCGUAAAAAAAGAAGAAAAAGGAG